UACGUAGGGGGCAAGCGUUGUCCGGAUUUAUUGGGCGUAAAGAGCGUGUAGGCGGCCAUGUAGGUCCGUUGUGAAAACUCGAGGCUCAACCUCGAGACGCCGAUGGAAACCAUGUGGCUAGAGUCCGGAAGAGGAGAGUGGAAUUCCUGAUGUAGCGGUGAAAUGCGCAGAUAUCAGGAAGAACACCCGUGGCUAAGGCGGCUCUCUAGUACGGUACUGACGCUGAGACGCGAAAGCGUGGGGAGCGAAGCAGG
rnacentral:rRNA from 1 species